rnacentral:rRNA from 1 species
UCCCUACGGGGGGCAGCAGUGAGGAAUAUUGGUCAAUGGGCGCGAGCCUGAACCAGCCAAGUCGCGUGAGGGAAGACGGUCCUAUGGAUUGUAAACCUCUUUUGUCGGGGAGCAAAAGACGCCACGUGUGGCGUUCCGAGAGUACCCGAAGAAAAAGCAUCGGCUAACUCCGUGCCAGCAGCCGCGGUAAUACGGAGGAUGCGAGCGUUAUCCGGAUUUACUGGGUGUAAAGGGAGCGUAGACGGCAGCGCAAGUCUGAAGUGAAAUGCCGGGGCUUAACCCCGGAACUGCUUUGGAAACUGUGC